rnacentral:tRNA from 9 species
GUAGAUAUAGUUUAAACA